AUGGCUGCGGCGGCGGGGGGCGGCGGAGGAGCGAAGGCGACGGUGGCGGAGCAGAUAGGGCAGGCGGUGCAGUCCACCUCCAACCUUCUCCAGCUCAUGGAGCAGUCCUCCCCUGCCCAGGUCCACUUGGCUAAACUCCCUAAGAAUCUCUUGGCAAAAGCAUCUCUUACAAAGAACACAGAGCAAGUGCUACAACAACUACCUAAUGUAAUUUCUUCCUUGGAUGCUUUUAUGGACAGUAGUUUGCAAAGCGCAUCUCAAAUUAAGACUGUCACACAACUGUUGUCAAACAUGGAGACCACCCAGCUCAAAUCUAUUUUGCCUGCCUCUCGAUUACAGAAAGAUCAAAAGAAUACUGAGCCUGGAGAACUCAGGGUUGACUGA
rnacentral:rRNA from 1 species